CAGGCUGCUUAUGCACCCAUUUAAAAGGCAGGCUGCUUAUGCACCCAUUUAAAAGGCAGGCUGCUUAUGCACCCAUUUAAAAGGCAGGCUGCUUAUGCACCCAUUUAAAAGGCAGGCUGCUUAUGCACCCACAUCAAAAGAUCCUCAAGACCUCGAUGCAGCCCUUUCAUAUUACAUUGCAAAGGACAUGAUGCCAUUUCAAAUUGUUGAGAGGCCUGGCUUUCUGAGGCUGACGAAGGUUGCCGUGCCUCACUACAAAGUGCCACCGCAAACUUUAUUUUCCAAGACUGAAAUCCCAAACCUGUACAACCAGGUUAAAGCUGAUGUUGGAAAAAGUUUGGCUCAAGGAAAAUGGUUUUCUGCAACUGCUGACCUCUGGACCAGUGAAAGCGAAGGUGGUCAACCCGACAUCGGCUUCACUAUCCAUUACCUCACCCCACACUGGCAACUGGAAUCAAACUGCCUGGAAACGCAGUUCUUCCCAGAAGAUCACUCGGCUCACAACAUCAGAGUUUUUUUGUGUGAAUUUGCUGGAAGAGUGGUGGAUCAACAAGAAAGACCUGGUCUGCAUAACCACAGACAACACAACAAACAUGAUCAAGGCUUUUGAAGAGUUCCCCCGAUUUGUGGCUUGGGUGCUUUGGCCAUAAUUUGAACCUGGCCAUCUCAAGGGCUCUGACAAUUCAGAGAGUUGACAUAGCAGGACUGCCGUCAUCUGGUCCAAGGCUUCUCACGGAGCUGGAAGAGAAGGGGAGUACUGAGAGAAAAGCAAGCUGCCCUCAACAUGCCACAGAACCCUCUGAUCCAUGAUGUGGUGACCCAAUGUGGAGUUCACAUUUAAGGUAAAAAUGAUUUUAUUUUUUACUUAGAAAACAAUCCUUGCUAGCGUCUCUGAAGAUUCUAAUAAAAUCUUCCUCUCCUCAUGGUUGAAUGUUCUGGGGAAGCCACUGGGUAACCUUGGAAACCCAGAGGCGGAGUUUGAUUGGCCCUGGGAGGUAGCCAAUGGCAAAUAGCUGCUGUACUUGACGGAGAUCCUGACCAAAGGGAAGUCAGACUCUCACUGUGUGCCACCUGGAGACAUCGUCAACCCACCCAACCUCACGGUGGACCUAAGAGGCCAGCAUAACACAAGGUCCAGGUCAGCCAGAAGUACCAACAACACAUGUUGUGGUGCAAUAAUGUACCUGAUCUUGAAGAGGUCCACUCAUAUACCCAACAAAGGGAAUCAAGGUCCCAGAUACCUCUUUCAUGUCUGUCUACGGAACAACCACAACCACAGUCUGACAAGUGCUGAGGGACUGAAGAGGAGAGAUGUCAGCGGACACCAUUGAGAAAUUGACAAAGCUGUUUGAAAUAAGCCACUCUCCUUCAUCAGCUCUAAACACAAUCAAAUAUGAGUUGCAAGUGCAGUAUGGAGACAACCAUGUGCAUGCCUCUGUAGAUCGCUCCAUUUGCCCCGACCUUCAAUUCUGCUUCAAGUCAGUAGCUUGACACACUCGAACUGCUGAUUCAUUCAGUGUGUUUAAAUGCUAUCACCAGAAAUAAUGCGCUGUAGGUGUGUUCCUCAUUUGUCCAUUGCAGAUUGUACCACAAGCUGUUCAAAGAAGCAUGUGUUGCAUCGUAUAUAGAGGAGAAGAUUGAUGAUUCUAACGAGCAUCUGGAUAACGGGAAUAUAAUCACCAGAAUGCUAUGUUUUCGACCGUGGCAAUGCGUCCGAGGACACCGUUGCAAUUGAGCGUGCCCGUUUCUGAUGUUAAUGGCUCAGUGCUCUCCAAGGUACAUCUGGAAAACCAGCUGAGGGGGCGAUGUUAGAGGAAGAGUGGAUGGAGAUCUUUGAAGACCUCAAAAAGAGGAUGAGGGAGGAUCCUGUGAGUUUCAGGCCAGCAGUAGCGUCCUUCGUUUCCAGCUUCAAGAAGAUGAUAACAGACAGUGAACUCAUAGCCGCACUAUCAAACUCUGGCAUAGCCAACCCUGGACCAACAGCAAAGUUUCACCGGGGACGGGCACGCCCCGCAAAGAGCUCCGUAGGAGAGCGUGGACAUGGCACAUGCAGCUGGAAGAGGAAGGCACCCCAUUGAAUGUCUCAGUGUGUGGAAUAACACAUGGACAUUGGGAGUACUACACAAAAAAAGCAAGCCAACAUCAGUGGCCCCCUGUGCCCGUCAUCUACCUGCUUACCAUCUGUGACCUCCAGUGCACUAGCGCUCUGCCUACCAGCUCUAGGUCUCCUCCACCUUGAACAAAACCAGGGACUAUUUCAAUGCAUUGUGGCCUCUCCAACACCAGAUCCAGUGGCUAUUUCAGUAUUGCAUUCUUGCGUUUUUGUUUUACGUUAAUUCAAUGUAAGACAUUUCUGCAAUUUCAUAUGUUUAAAAAAAAUUGAUUCCAUGUUGAAGAACCAUCAGAUUUUAAAAAGCUGUUCUGCUAGGCCUAUAAUAUCACUGAGCCAAAGCAGUAGUUGUCUUGACCUAAAUAUAAAAAGCCUUAUAUAAUAUUUUUUUCUCAAAUUGUAUUGGUCACAUACACAUGGUUAGUAGAUGUUAAUGCGAGUGUAGCGAAAUGCUUGUGCAUAAACUGGUAUAUGUUGUGCAUCAAGUUGUCCUUUUUAUGUUGAACAAAUGCAAGACUACCAUUCUAAUGAUGGGUUGUAAAAGACACAUAAUUAAGUGUUUAUUUGUACAUAAAAAAAUAUCCAGAGGGGAACCUGCAAAAAAUGUU